rnacentral:rRNA from 1 species
GAGUUUGAUCGUGGCUCAGGAUGAACGUUGGCGGCGUGCCUAACACAUGCAAGUCGAACGGCAAUAGCAAUAUUGGAGUGGCGCACGGGUGAGUAACACGUAGCUAAUCUACCUCAAAGCGCGGGAUAACGUGUCGGAAAGACAGGCUAAAUACCGCAUAAAGCCUCACGGAAAGCAGAGGACUGUGAGAAAAGGCUUAGGUCACUUUGAGAUGAGGCUGCGGCCCAUCAGCUAGUUGGGGUGGUAAAAGCACACCAAGGCGACGACGGGUAGGGGACCUGAGAGGGUGACCCCCCACACUGGGACUGAGACACGGCCCAGACUCCUACGGGAGGCAGCAGUGAGGAAUAUUGCACAAUGGGCGCAAGCCUGAUGCAGCGACGCCGCGUGGGUGAAGAAGGUUUUUCGGAUCGUAAAACCCUUUUCUGUGUGACGAGAACGGACGGUGCACAGGAAUAAGUCUCGGCUAACUACGUGCCAGCAGCCGCCGU